rnacentral:rRNA from 1 species
UACGUAGGCAGCAAGCGUUGUUCGGAGUUACUGGGCGUAAAGGGUGUGUAGGCGGUUGGAUAAGUGUGGUGUGAAAUCUCCCGGCUUAACUGGGAGGGUGCGCUACAAACUGUCUGACUAGAGUGUGGGAUGGGUAAGUGGAAUUCCUGGUGUAGCGGUGAAAUGCGUAGAUAUCAGGAGGAACACCUGCGGUGUAGACGGCUUUUCUGGACCAUUUGUUGACGCUGAGACACGAAAAGCGUGGGUAGCAAACAGG